rnacentral:rRNA from 1 species
AAUUAGUGGCAGACGGGUGAGUAAUGCAUAGGGACCUACCUAGUAGUAUAGGAUAGCCGCUAGAAGUGGUGGGUAAUACUGUAUAAUCCCUGCGGGGGAAAGAUUUAUCGCUACAUGAUGAGCCUAUGUUAGAUUAGCUAGUUGGUGGGGUAAUGGCCUACCAAGGCAGUGAUCUAUAGCUGGUCUGAGAGGAUGAUCAGCCACACUGGAACUGAGGCACGGUCCAGACUCCUACGGGAGGCAGCAGUGGGGAAUAUUGGACAAUGGGCGCAAGCCUGAUCCAGCUAUGCCGCGUGAGUGAGGAAGGCCUUAGGGUUGUAAAACUCUUUCAGUGGGGAAGAUAAUGACGGUACCCACAGAAGAAGUCCCGGCAAACUCCGUGCCAGCAGCCGCGGUAAUACGGAGGGGGCAAGCGUUGUUCGGAGUUAUUGGGCGUAAAGGGCAUGUAGGUGGUUUGGUUAGUUAAAGGUGAAAUGCCAGGGCUUAACCCUGGAGCUGCUUUUAAUACUGCCAGACUGGAGUCCCGGGGAGA